GUCUACGGCCAUACCACCCUGAACGCGCCCGAUCUCGUCUGAUCUCGGAAGCUAAGCAGGGUCGGGGCCGGUUAGUACUUGGAUGGGAGACCGCCUGGGAAUACCGGGUGCUGUAGGCU
rnacentral:rRNA from 1 species